rnacentral:rRNA from 1 species
AUUGAACGCUGGCGGAAUGCUUUACGCAUGCAAGUCGAACGGCAGCACGGGUGCUUGCACCUGGUGGCGAGUGGCGAACGGGUGAGUAAUACAUCGGAACGUGCCCAGUAAUGGGGGAUAACACAGCGAAAGCUGUGCUAAUACCGCAUACGCCCUGCGGGGGAAAGCGGGGGAUCGAAAGACCUCGCGUUAUUGGAGCGGCCGGUGCCUGAUGAGCUAGUUGGUAGGGGAAAGGCCGACCAAGGCGACGAUCAGUAGCCGGUCUGAGAGGAUGAUCAGCCACACUGGAACUGAGACACGGUCCAGACUCCUACGGGAGGCAGCAGUGGGGGAUUUUGGACAAUGGGGGAAACCCUGAUCCAGCCAUUCCGCGUGAGUGAAGAAGGCCUUCGGGUUGUAAAGCUCUUUCGGCAGGGAAGAAACGCUCUGGGUUAAUAACCUGGGGUAAUGACGGUACCUGAAGAAGAAGCACCGGCUAACUACGUGCCAGCAGCCGCAGUAA